UACAGAGGUCUCAAGCGUUGUUCGGAUUCAUUGGGCGUAAAGGGUGUGUAGGUGGCGCGCUAAGUCGGGUGUGAAAUUUCGGAGCUUAACUCCGAAACUGCAUUCGAUACUGGCGUGCUUGAGGACUGGAGAGGAGACUGGAAUUUACGGUGUAGCAGUGAAAUGCGUAGAGAUCGGAAAGAACACCAACGGCGAAAGCACUCUGCUGGGCCGACACUGACACUGAGAGACGAAAGCUAGGGGAGCGAAUGGG
rnacentral:rRNA from 1 species